CUACCUGUGGCAGUCUGCAAUGGACGAGGAAGGCUAUGAACAAAUAAAAGUACAUCAUUACAAUACCUCUAUCACAAGCUUAAAAGGUCCGCAUUAUGAAAAAACGUCCCCCAUUGGUAAGGCAGCCUACGGGCCUGGAGUACAUGAACUAUUAUUAUCGUAUUCUAGUUCUUGUUUAUAUAUAUAGACCAAAUAUAAAUGAACCAAUUGGAAGAAACUUGCUUAUAAUUUGUACGCAAUAAUAUCAAAUGUCAUUGUAACAGAUGCAAAAACUGAAGUCCUUAUGUUAAACAGACAUCCUUUUUCUCUACCGUUGAAAAGUCAAGGAACGGAUAUUUAACGAAUACACUAGUAGUCACUAAAACUUCAAACAGAAGAUCAUUCGACGCCAAGUUGUUUUAGCAUUCGACUUUAAAGUUCAGAGUCGAAUGCUAAAACAACUUGGCGCCAAAAACACUGAACCACACAUGAUAAAGAGCGGACUCGUGUAGUUAGUUGGUUCGUCAGACUUAACCUAUCUUUUUUCUUGUAUAAUAUUUGUUAUCAGUUCGUGUUUAUAAUUGGAAACCCUAUUUACAACGAAAUUGCACUAACUUACAUUUGCGCAUGCCCGAUGGGAUUUUUCAAACGCACAUUGUGGUGAAAGGGUGGUUUUGAGAUCUCAAAUCGUGGUAUAUCUUAACAAAAACUAUCGCUUUUUAUAGAUUAGAUUUAUGUAUUUUAAUCAUCCUAAAGUGUAAUUAGAUCUUGAUAAAAGUGCUACCUGAACAGUCACUUUUAAUGAAUGUUCAUAAACAAGAUAAAUAUUUACUGCAAAGUUCUUUUCCUAUUGAUCGAUAAUCCGUUCUUGCUGAGAAUGGCAACCAGUUGAGAGAACUGCAGUGUGACUGAAUGUAAAUCUAACGAGAAAACUAUAUUUAAUUCAUGAUUUGAAGCAACGAAAACGUCAUAAGGCCCUGGAAUUUUCUCGCAGUUAAAUCUAUUGUAACUUCUCUAGAACACAAUAUUAAUUGUCAUAUUCAAUGAAUUUAAAUUCUCUUUACCAUUAGUACCAGUACCUGUCUACAGAUUCUAAUAAAGUGUAUACACUUCCUAGACAA